UUGCGUCAUGACGUCAACUCAUUCUGCUUCCUUUGUUUGCUGAGCUGUGCUGGCCUCCCUUGCUGUGCCUCCAACUCCUGGACCAAUUUGUUCGGUUGUUUGCUGCCGGGAAGCUGCGCUCCAUAGGCGAACUUGUGGAUCUGUUAAUCUGGCCGUGUGGUAAUUUACAGGUAAGCAGCUACCGUAAGUUAUAGUUUUUAUCAGCAGUUGUAUUAAUAAUCUACUCUAUUUUUAGCCUCCUGCUGAAUCCUUGACGACUAUUCUAUUUGGAUAUACACUCGCUGCUGUUUUGCCUACGAUGAAAUAUUUUAAAAGAUUUGUAUGAACUUUCCCCCGCUGCCGGGAGCAUUGAUGGCACUACGACCGGGAUGAGGAGCAAUGUUGUAGUGCUAUUAUAUUAC